GGGAGCUUGUUCAAAAUGCAGAUGGCCAGCCCUCCCCCCGAGAAUCAGAACCUCUGGAGGAGAAGACCAAGACCCUGCAUUCAACGCACCUUCCCCAGUGACAUCAGGAAGCCUACCAGAGCCUCGUGAGAGCUGCCCGAACCACCGGGCUUCCCACCGAGCCCUUCCCUGGAUCCCAGUGCUCCCGUGGAGUUAAAGAGGAGAGAGUCACUCACCGCCUGAACGCCAGCCAACGGGUGAUUAUUCCACUUUUCCUGGAAUGAGCUUUCCACACUUUCUCCGGCUGGAGCCAUCGGCAGCCCGGGCCCCCACCUCUCCGACCUACUCUCACACCCUCUCUAGCUCUUUACAGAAGCUUUCAAGGCUUGCUGGGAUGACUGAACACACACGUGUAUCAUCACCAAAGCAACCCCCCACCCCAGAUGCACAGGAAAGACCCCGGGCGGAGGGUGGGGGCAGAGUCACCCUAGCUGCAGCCCGCGGGCCAGCUUCCCACGGAGGGUGACAGCAAACAUGGGAGCGGAUUGCCGCCACACAAUCCACAGAUUGCUGCCACACAAUGGGGCAGACCUCUUUCGGGUCACAUCAGAUAACGCCUUGAGCCAGCAAGCCAAAAGCAAACUGAACAAAACCAGCACACCGCCCCCCCAACCGUCAUUCAACUCGUAAACUUAUCAGAAUUUACAGCAAACCAAGGAGAGUCCAGACGCGGGUAAUGUCGUUAAGAAGCCUGCACAGCACCCAGAUGCCAGGAGGGUCUCCGUGACAGACUCCAGGCUCAAAGCGAAGGGAAAGCAGGACAGCACAGACAUCUGCAGACACAGAAGCAUUCUUCCCGUCCAGCCCGACAGGAACCGGCCUGAUUAUCAAGGGGAAGCACCCGGAACUCAGAGUGGAGUGCAGCUUGGGAGAAACAGGGCUUUGGGGGAUGUGCAAAUGUAGCUGGGAGAGGCCCGACCCCAGAACCAGACGGGGAGCCCUGUCUCCGGCUGCCUUUCGAGGCUGAUUUGUUGUUAGAGCAUCUGUCAGAGAAGACCCCGAAACAAUAUAUAAUCCCCCCAGAGCCCGGGAGCCUGACUCCAGGACACACAGCUGCCAUUUCAGGCGCCCCCACACCGGGGCGUCAGGCGCCCCCUUCAGUCUCCCCGCAUACCUGCACCAAACUUUGAAGCUUCCCUGUGAGUCAGACGGGCCACUUGGCGCUCGCUGGCUUUCUAUUUAAAGAUCACAGACGGCUUCUUAGACACCAUUCAGCCCGGGGCUUCUAAGGACGAGAUGCUAAAUCCCUCCCCUUUGCACCUCACUUUCCAUCGACAUAAGAGAGGUUCUAGCUGACCACGGGAGGCUCGCCCCCCGCUGCUGCGCAGGAGGUGAGGGGGAGCUGCCCACCCCCCACACUCCCCCCAACAGGGCGCACAGCUGGAGAAUGCCCCGGGACCUACAGCGCCCACCAGGAAAGCCUACAGCUUUUCCUGUAGGAAUGCUUUCAGCUCCCACCAGGAAAGCCAUCCCGAGCCCCACGGCCGGCCGGAAGUGGGGAAGACAAGAUAGGAUUCGACCCACUGGGCAGCGGUCUUAAAGUCCUGUCUGAACCAAACUCUGCUGAGGGACUGUCCCAAACAGAUGGCCAAGCUGCCAGGAACCAUCCAGCAGCUGCUCCUCGCUUCCUCUAUCCUCCCGGAGAUCCUUGGUUACAGGGACAGCACAUUCCCCCACCACGCUCCAUUUCCAGGUGAGAGUGAACCAGGCAGAGACAUGCGAGGGCCACUGGGAGCCCUGCCCCAUGUGGGGUGCACGUGUGUGCUUCGCCACAUCCCUUGCCCCGGCCAGACCAGGUCCAGGAAAGCAGACUGUCCAUGCUGUGUGGCAAUUACACGGGAAAGCAGGAGUGUAACAGACAGCAGCGGGCCCAAGGGCAGGGGCCAGGAGCCAGGCUGCUCAGAGCCGCCCAGGGGACCCCACGCCCCCCAGUGCCGCCAAGCCCCCUCCCAGCCGGCGCGAAGGCCAUGCCUCUCCCUCCCCAGCUCCCUCCAUCCCAGCUACUCAGAGAAAACCAGCAGCCCACGUGACCAGAAUGAGCCUUCCUCGCUAAUAAACCCCUCCUAAGGCUGUGACAGUUUUCGCAGAAAAUUACCUUUCAGGAAGAAAAUAUAAGGAAGGGGAAGAGGGGGGACAGAG